CCUGCCCGACCUGCAGCCACUGGACCACCGGACCACCAGGGAGAGAGACCCCCCCCCAGCACUCCCAAAGGUAAGGAGGUUGGGGGGGGGGAUUUAAAUUAAAAAAAAAGUUAAUGUGUGUGUGUGUCUGACUGUGUGUGUGUUUGUGUCUGACUGUGUUUGUGAGUGUGUGUGUUUGUGUCUGACUGUUUUUGUCUGUGUAUGUGUCUGACUGUGUGUGUGUAUUUGUCUGUGUGUGUGUUUGUGUCUGACUGUGUGUGUGUGUGUUUGUGUCUGACUGUGUGUGUGUUUGUGCCUGACUGUGUUUGUGAGUGUGUGUUUGUGUCUGACUGUGUUUGUGUAUGUGUGUGUUUGUGUCUGACUGUGUGUGUGUGUGACUGUGUGUGUGUUUGUGUGUGUGUGUGU